rnacentral:misc_RNA from 1 species
CUAUUACUAGAUUCGUAUUAAAUGCAACCUUGCACUACGCAAUCAGCUGACGCAAAUUGAAAAGUCAAACAACAACAUCUUUCAAAAUUACAACUAGGUCAAUAAACCAUCUCUUUAUUUCUUUACUGAAGACACAUAAAAAGGAAUAAUGGUUAUUUCUCGCCUUAUACGUCCAUUACUGACGGCGCGUGGAGUUAUGGGCCACACUUUGGGAAAACGUUCAAAAUUGGCAUAUAUGACCCAAGGCACACAUUUUCGCAGCGGUGCGUUGAAGCCAAAGCCACACCAAACACCAUUUGGCAUGGUAUUUGUGUUCUGCGCUGUGUUACCUGGUCUAUUUCUUGGCGCUGCUAUAAGUAAAAGUGUUGCUAAUUUCUUAGAGGAAAAUGAUCUUUUCGUACCAUCUGAGGACGACGACGAUGAUGAUGAUGACUAAAAUAAAUGUAUCCUAGCCAUUUGACCACUUUAAGAAAAAUAAUAUGGGCCAAAAAAAAAAUUGAUAAAUUAUCGAAUUGAAAUUUUUCGUUAAGAGCUUCUUGUUAAAUAAUUAUUAAAAUUGCAGGAUUCAUUAAGGAUUUAGUCUGUCCUGCCAUACGCGUGUUAGUCUUAAAGCCAAUAUCAAGGAAUAUGUUAACCCCAAAUUCAAACAAUUAUCGUCAGUAACUUGAAUCUACUUGGAUACGUGAACUCAACAAUUAAAUAGGAUAUGCAAUGAAAAUCACGAUGGCAAUUUCUUUAAAAUCUACAUUUUAUUGUUCCACAGUUUUAUUAGACAUUUCCUAUAAAUGUAAUUUAAAAUUAUUAUUAGAUAAUAAAUAUAAUACCUAAUCAAAAUAACCUUAAUUAAACUUUCAAAAA